GGCAAGAUGCUCUGGAUUUGGAGAAGAUAUUGAUUUCUUUCCUGUCAUGAUCAGAACACCCCAUGAAUGCCUGAAAGGUCCUUUCUUCCUCCAACUGCCAUUUCAGAGCUACUACAGAAUCUGCUCACGCCAGGAGAUAGGAAAGAGAAAGAAGACAGAAGACAUAACCUGUCCUUAAGCAAACUGGUUGAGAAGGAAACACUGCAAUAAAUCAGUUUCAGGUUGUAUGAAUCCAUAUUAAAUAUUCUAUUCUGACCUGGAAACAGUGUUCAAGUUCUGGCAAGAAGUGGCAACCUUUUUUGUCUUGGGGAAACAACAAAACUGCUUGAGGAAUAUCUGCAAAAAAACUUGGAUCUGGCUGAGUGGCAAAUUGUUUAUUGGCUCUGCUUGCUUUUGAUGUGGUUUUCAGUUAUCCAAAAGCCACUGAAAAGAU